GUAGCUGACUUUUAUAUAUAAACAGCUGAAAAGACCUAUUCAGGGCAUUCAUUCAUCAAUAAAGCCUUUCCCCCUUAAUAUUCUCUCUCUUCCUCUCCUAUCUCUCUCUAAACUCACUCCCAUUCUUCUGAUUCUCUCUCUUUCUGUUACCACUGAGAGUGUCAGAUCUAUUAGGAAUUUUCUAACAUUUGGUAUCAGAGCGCAGUUGAUUCUGGCUGGAGUUGGUGAGUUGGAGUCGCAAAUGACCAGGUCUCAGAUUGUUAGUAUCGACACUGUGAAAUUGGCAGAAUUCGAGGAGUAAUUGCAAGAAUUGCAGGAUAAUUUCCAUCAGAAUUCUGAAGAGUUGAAAGGAUUAAAGGACGAGAUGAGGACCUGUAUCUGAGAAGAAUUGAUUGCAAACACUGCUAGUCUCAAGAAUUCUGUUCUUGAUGAGUUAAAAGUCUUAUUGAUUCAUUCUGGUGGGAAAUAAGGGCAAAGGAAUUGCGACAGCUGAGGGAGAAACUUCUGGUGUGAAAGUAGAGGCAUCUUGCCCAUGCCGAGAGAACAGGGAAGCAACUCUCAGCCUGCUGGAGUUGCGAUUACAGCAAAUCCCGAAUGCAAAGAAAUCUCCUCCUCUUCACUCCAUUAAAUGGAAUGCAAAUGACUUAUCAUUAGGAAAACCUGGAACUAGUGGUAUUGGUGGUGUUCUACGUAAUUCACAAGGUAUUUUCUUGUCUCUUCUCUUAUAAUGCUGGUUGCAGUGAUUCAAAUCUUGCAGAGCUGAAAGCUAUAGCUAAAGCUUUGGAAAUUUCCAAAGACCUCUCCAUUACCUCUUCUUGCGAAAGUAUUUUCAUCGAAUUAGAUUCAAACAUUGUUUUGUCAUGGGUCGCUGAUCUCAACUCUGUUCUUUGGAGAACUUCCUCAAUCAUAAACUCCAUUGUAAACAUACCUUGCCUCACGUUGAGUUCAUUCACUCACCUUGUAAGCAAAUUCAGCUACUGAUUCUCUAGCUAAAUAAGGUGUUUUUCGUAAUAGUGAUUUUGUAGCCUUUUUUUGAUUUGAUGCUUCUCUUCUUUUUGUAGCUUGGCUUGAUUGGGUUUGCAGCUCUUUUUGUUUGGGUGUAAAUGGGUAUGCCUUUUGCCAUGGGUUAGAUUUUAGGAGCUACCAAACCUCCCUUUUUUCUUUGUAAUAAAAUCUCUUAACCUAUAAAAAGAAAAAAAAAGAGUGUCUGUAUCUUUUAAUUAAACAAUAUGUUGAUCAAAAUAGUGUUGGUAACUUUUAAUUAGCGAUAACUAAACAAUGUGUUUUUCGUAAUAGUGAUUUUGUAGCCUAUCUUUGAUUUGGUGGUUCUCUUC